UGAGGUGCUAGCCAUUGAACCCAGGG
rnacentral:piRNA from 1 species